UACGGAGGGGGCUAGCGUUGUUCGGAAUUACUGGGCGUAAAGCGCACGUAGGCGGCUUUGUAAGUUAGAGGUGAAAGCCCAGGGCUCAACCCUGGAAUUGCCUUUAAGACUGCAUCGCUAGAAUUGUGGAGAGGUAAGUGGAAUUCCGAGUGUAGAGGUGAAAUUCGUAGAUAUUCGGAAGAACACCAGUGGCGAAGGCGGACUUACUGGACACAUAUUGACGCUGAGGUGCGAAAGCGAUGGGGAGCGAACGAGG
rnacentral:rRNA from 1 species